AUUGAACGCUGGCGGCAUGCUUUACACAUGCAAGUCGAACGGCAGCGCGGGGCAACCUGGCGGCGAGUGGCGAACGGGUGAGUAAUAUAUCGGAACGUACCCAGAAGUGGGGGAUAACGUAGCGAAAGUUACGCUAAUACCGCAUACGAUCUACGGAUGAAAGUAGGGGACCGCAAGGCCUUAUGCUUUUGGAACGGCCGAUAUCUGAUUAGCUAGUUGGUGAGGUAAAGGCUCACCAAGGCGACGAUCAGUAGCUGGUCUGAGAGGACGACCAGCCACACUGGAACUGAGACACGGUCCAGACUCCUACGGGAGGCAGCAGUGGGGAAUUUUGGACAAUGGGCGCAAGCCUGAUCCAGCAAUGCCGCGUGAGUGAAGAAGGCCUUCGGGUUGUAAAGCUCUUUUGUCAGGGAAGAAACGGUAGAGGCUAAUAUCCUUUGCUAAUGACGGUACCUGAAGAAUAAGCACCGGCUAACUACGUG
rnacentral:rRNA from 1 species